GAUGUACUCCCUCCGUCCGGAAUUACUUGUCAUCAAAAUGGAUGAAAAUGGAUGUAUCUAGAACUAAAAUACAUCUAGAUACGUCCAUUUCAAUGACAAGUAUUUCCGGACGGAGGGAGUAAUAU
rnacentral:pre_miRNA from 1 species